rnacentral:rRNA from 1 species
UUAAGCGACUAAGCGUACACGGUGGAUGCCCUGGCAGUCAGAGGCGAUGAAGGACGUGCUAAUCUGCGAUAAGCGCCGGUAAGGUGAUAUGAACCGUUAUAACCGGCGAUUUCCGAAUGGGGAAACCCAGUGUGAUUCGUCACACUAUCAUUACGUGAAUACAUAGCGUAAUGAAGCGAACCGGGGGAACUGAAACAUCUAAGUACCCCGAGGAAAAGAAAUCAACCGAGAUUCCCCCAGUAGCGGCGAGCGAACGGGGAGGAGCCCAGAGCCUGAAUCAGCAUGUGUGUUAGUGGAAGCGUCUGGAAAGGCGCGCGAUACAGGGUGACAGCCCCGUACACAAAAGCGCAUGUGCUGUGAGCUCGAUGAGUAGGGCGGGACACGUGGUAUCCUGUCUGAAUAUGGGGGGACCAUCCUCCAAGGCUAAAUACUCCUGACUGACCGAUAGUGAACCAGUACCGUGAGGGAAAGGCGAAAAGAACCCCGGCGAGGGGAGUGAAAAAGAACCUGAAACCGUGUACGUACAAGCAGUGGGAGCACAGGUUUACCUGUGUGACUGCGUACCUUUUGUAUAAUGGGUCAGCGACUUAUAUUCUGUAGCAAGGUUAACCGAAUAGGGGAGCCGGAGGGAAACCGAGUCUUAACCGGGCGUUAAGUUGCAGGGUAUAGACCCGAAACCCGGUGAUCUAGCCAUGGGCAGGUUGAAGGUUGGGUAACACUAACUGGAGGACCGAACCGACUAAUGUUGAAAAAUUAGCGGAUGACCUGUGGCUGGGGGUGAAAGGCCAAUCAAACCGGGAGAUAGCUGGUUCUCCCCGAAAGCUAUUUAGGUAGCGCCUCGUGAAUUCAUCUCCGGGGGUAGAGCACUGUUUCGGCUAGGGGGCCAUCCCGGCUUACCAACCCGAUGCAAACUGCGAAUACCGGAGAAUGUUAUCACGGGAGACACACGGCGGGUGCUAACGUCCGUCGUGAAGAGGGAAACAACCCAGACCGCCAGCUAAGGUCCCAAAGUCAUGGUUAAGUGGGAAACGAUGUGGGAAGGCCCAGACAGCCAGGAUGUUGGCUUAGAAGCAGCCAUCAUUUAAAGAAAGCGUAAUAGCUCACUGGUCGAGUCGGCCUGCGCGGAAGAUGUAACGGGGCUAAACCAU